UGUCCUACGGGAGGCAGCAGUGGGGAAUAUUGCACAAUGGGGGAAACCCUGAUGCAGCGACGCCGCGUGAGUGAGGAAGUAUCGCGGUACGUAAAGCUCUAUCAGCAGGGAAGAAAAUGACGGUACCUGACUAAGAAGCCCCGGCUAACUACGUGCCAGCAGCCGCGGUAGUACGUAGGGGGCAAGCGUUAUCCGGAUUUACUGGGUGUAAAGGGAGCGUAGGUGGCAUGGCAAGCCAGAAGUGAAAACCCGGGGCUUAACCCCGCGGAUUGCUUUUGGAACUGUCAGGCUGGAGUGCAGGAGGG
rnacentral:rRNA from 1 species